AUUCUUGGGAGACGUUGUUUUCUUAUUUUUUGAAGUCCGAGCCCACUACUUUUACUUUUUUUUUUUUUUUUUUAAUGUGAAAGGUCUUUCAUCCCCAACCCUCUGAAUGGCUAAAGGCAGGAAGCCUGAGCCCAUGAACACAGAUUUUUUUUUUUUUCCCUAAGACUGAAAGCUGAGACCCGGAGAGGUAGGGGCUCACAGGGGACAGAGAGACUGCUGGUGCAAGGGAGGAGCUGGCCUUUGGGGGUCAGGGCAGUCCGGGAGCUCUAGGAGACAGGGCCCCUGCUCUUGUGUUUGCAGUUGUACUGUGUCCACCUGGCUUGGGGGCUGGCUCCUGGAGCAGCGGCUCAGUGAAUAAACAAAUGAGUGCGUGUGUGCCAAAUCUGGGUUCAUGUCUGGUGGUCCCCGUGAGGGGAUGCAGAGGCAGGAGGACCUGGUGGGGUCUCAGGAGCUGCCGUGCUGGGGGUUCCUGCCCCACCUCUGGGCUGAAGCUCCCAGAAGGCGAGGGACCGGCUCCUCCAGGGAGCAACUGUACAGGUCAAGGAGUCUGUUCCCAGCCCCUUCCAUGGCUCCUCCAAGUAGGGGCUACUUGGGGAACUUCAGGUGUGGUGGCGGCCAGAGGGAAGGCGUUUCCGGGCCUUGAGAGGAGAGCUGUUCUCCAGAGUGGGACUAGGUCUGCUAAUGCAGAUGCAGCUCUUCCUGCAGGAGCUUCCUGGCCUCUCUGGGGAGGAGAGAGGGGCUGUGUUCAUCCUGGACUCCCUCCUCCUACCUCCAAGGCCUGGGUGUGAACACCCUCCUGGCAUGACUGGGCUCCCACCCACUGAGUCACCUGGUCCUGCUUGGCCGUGGGCCCCUGGGGAGCGAGGCAGACAUGAGAGACGGGAGGACCGGCUGGCUCCUGUGGUCACCCCAGCCAUGUGCUUCCCAUUAGCCGCCCACACCCCGGGGAGGGGACGGCCGCAGGGCUCUCCCUCACGUGUCCUGGCCUUGUGUCAGCACCGCCCAUGGAAGGAGGGGGCUGGACGCGGCACUGGAGCUGCAGAGAAAUCUGGUGUAACCUCCUAACUGGUCUUAUUGGCUUCAGAGAAACCGUUCUGCACCUCCCAGCCUCAUGGUCACCUUUUUAUAAACACAGAUCAGACCCUUUGCUCAGAAGAGAAGAGAAAAAUACUCCAAAACCCUCAGCAAGGUAUUCAAAGCCCUCCUUGAUUUGUCCCCAAAUUUCUCUCUCAAAGACAUAUAUCCUGUGUGUAUGUGCAGUUCCCUAGACAUGCCAAGCACCUUUCUUGCUCUGGAGGAAACAGCCCUUGCUUGGGUAGACAGAUCUCUGCCCAGGGAUAAGCAGUGACUGGACAUCAGCCCCUCAGCCACACUGGACAGAGAAGAAGGGCAGUAAGGAGACAGGAAGGAGGAUAAUGAUGCACCCUUGGGUGCAGGAGACAGCGGCUGGACAUGCACCUCUGGGCUGCCUUCCUCCCACACUCCCCCAGCCCCUGCCCCAGAGACUCACAUGUAAGCCUUGUAGUUGGAUCCAAUUUUCUGGAUGCGGAUGUCGUACUUGGAGUCGAUGAAGGCCUCGGUGGUGGCGUAGGUUUUGGCCAUGGCGACCACGCUGGUGAUGUCCUGGAAGUCAAGCUGGUUUUCCACUUUGAUCUGUGUGGGAGGAUGAGGGGGAUGAGUGCCACCCACCCCGUGUUCACUGAGCCCACCCUAUGCCAGGAACAAGUGCUCUGUCUAUAGACACGAAUUCCCUUCAGAAGGUCACCUGCUGGCAGGGGAGACAGACACGGGAAGCAAAUCAUUCCACCACACACCGCACGAGCUGCAGAGAGGAAGGGAGUGAUUCUGCUUGGGUGGUCAAGAAAGCUUUACAGAGGAGGUGAGCUCUGAACUGGGUUUGGAAGGAUGAACAUGUUUCAGAUGGAUGAGAGGGUCUCCCACAUUGUAUGACACCUGGGCAAUAAAAAACGGAUUCUACCCCUGGAACCACCAUUUCUGUCUCCCCAUUAGACUGUGAGCUUCUUGAGGACAGACGAGUGUUGUCCCCAGCUGUUGCACUGGUGCCAAGCAGAUUGUACAUGCUCUACACAAGUUUGCUGGAUUGAAUUUAAGAAGGUUGGAUCAAGACCUGCUUAUAAUUUGGGAGGGGGGCAAGAAACUAGAAGGAAAAACAAGAGAGUUCCAAAAAAAGGCAAAGAAACUGUUUCAAGGAAACUUGUCUUUUAUAAGGUGGAUAUUUCCAUGCAUUCUUGGGUAGGUGCUACGCUCUCUGAGGGUUACUGCCUGCCUCACAAGUUCUUGAGAACCGGAAGAAUUCCAGGAUUCUGGCGAAGAGGGGAGGUGGUCUGGAGCCUCGGUGGGUGGGUGCUGGAGGGGACUCUGGGAUGGUCCUCAGGCCAGAGAGGGUAGUUGGGGUGAGAGGGCACUGGGGACACAGCCCUGAGGAUGGUGAAAUGGCUGCUAGCCUGGGCAGGGAGUCUUGGCACUCCGCUUUAUUUACUGGCUGGAAAUCCCUCCAAGGGUUCACAAAGACAAGCUGAAAACAGGAAGCCCUCAAUGAGCUGUGAUUCAAGAUUACCCAUUUGCUGCCCCAGGGGCUAUGAUGGGGCCACUGUGAACUCUCCAAAACAGACCCACCCACACCCUUGCCUCCCUCGCCCCUCUUCUCCCUUCUCUUAUCUCCUCUCUCCUUCUCUCUCUCCUUUCUCUUGCGUCCUUGCCUUCUCACUCUCUCCUCCCUCCCUUUUCUCCCCUUUCCUCUAACACUCCUUGCCUUCUCUCUUACUCUGUUUUGUUUUUUUGUUGAUGUUGAGACAGAGUCUCUCUCUGUCGCCUAAGCUGGAGCGCAGUGGCACAGUCAGGGCUCACUGCAACCUCUGCCUCCCAGGUUCAAGCAAUCCUCCACCUUAGCCUCUUGAGUGGCUGGGACUACCGGCGCAUGACAUCACGCCUGGCUGUUUUUUCUUUGUCGUAUUUUUUGUAGAAAUGAAAUUUCCCCAUGUUGCCCAGGCUGGUCUUGAACACGUAGGUUCAGGCGAUCCUCCCACCUUGGCCUCCCAAAGUGCUGGGAUUACAGGCAUGAGUCACCAUGCCCGGCCACUCUUCCUUUUGCUUUUAAUGCCAUCUGUUUCCCUCUUGCACCUCUUUCCUCCUUGAUUUUUCCUUGUUGCUUACUUCUUCUCUUAUCUUUCUCCAGCCUCUCCCUUCCACCUCCUUCUCUGUCUCCUUCAGUUUUCCUGACCUCUUUUCAAUGUUGCCAUUCUUCUUCUCCUUCUCAUUUCUUCUUCAUUCCUUCCUCUCUGUCUUUCCUGCCUCCUUCCCCUCAUGGUCUCCCCAUUCAGGUUCUCACACUCUUCUCCUCUCUUGCUUUCUGAAUUGCUUUACCCUCUUGUGUGCUUGUGUGCACACAUGUGUGUAUGUGAGUGUGCAUGCAUGCAUGUGUGCUCUGUCCUGAGGCUGAGCAAGGAGGGAGAGUGGAAACAGAGGCAGAGAAAGUGGAGAGAGGAGUCAGGAUGCAAUUCCAAAUCUUCUGAAUGGGUUUUGGCUCAGAGGUCUCCUGUUCCAAAUUACAAAAUCCAACCCGGGAUGGGAAAGUCAUCUACAUACUUAGUAGACUGUCUGCUAUUUGCUUGAAUAUCUCCAAUAGCAGGGAGCUUACUAUCAGGCAGGGCAGCUCAAUCCCUUUUAGGAAACCUCUAACCUGUUCUGGUGUAUAUCACACCAGGAAUGAAUGAAUGGCCCUCGUUAUUCUAUGGAGUAAGUCUUAGCCCUCUGCCUUGUGUCUGCACUUCAUCCACUUGAAGAGAGCCACCCAGGUGUGCACAAGUCAUUCUUUCCUUAACCCAUUCCUAAUACGAGCUGCUUCCAGGCCCUUCACCAUCAUGAAACGCCCACAUUUGACAACCUCUUAAACUACAUAAUACCCAGAAUUACACAACAGACCCCAGGUGUGGUUUCACCAGCAGAGAUCAGAUAAGACUGUCCCCUCCCUCUAUCCAGAAUCCACCUGGCAUAUUCCUGCCUCAGGGCCUUUGCACUUGCUGUUCCGAGCCUGCAUGGGGUUUCACCAUGUUGGCCAGGACGGUCUUGAACUCCUGAGUUCAAGCCAUCUGCCCACCUUGGCCUGGCAAAGUGCUGGGAUUACUGGCUGAGCCAUGGUGCCUAGCCUCAGGUUAUUUUAUUUUAUUAUUUAUUAUUAUUUUUUUGAGACGGAAUCUUGCUCUGUCGUCAGGCUGGAGUGCAGUGGCACGAUCUCAGCUCACUGCAACCUCUGCCUCCUGGGUUCAAACGAUUCUCCUGCCUCAGCCUCCUGAGUAGCUGGGACUACAGGCGCCCACCACCAUGCCCGGCUAAUUUUUUGUAUUUUUAGUAGAGACGUGGUUUCACCAUGUUAGCCAGGAUGGUCUCAAUCUCCUGAUCUUGUGAUCCGCCCGCCUCGGCCUCCCAAAGUGCUGGGAUUACAGGCGUGAGCCACCGUGCCUGGCCUAAAAUAUUUAUAUUUUUAUGCCACCUGUUCUAGAAAGAAUUUAUGGCAAAUUUCAAAGAUAUAUAACAUACAACAUGAGACGUAAUUAAAAGCCGGAUGAUAGUAAUUCCACUAUUAAACAUCCAUCCUAAAGAUAUAAUGGAAGACACAUGAAAUGGUAUGCACGCAAGGCUGUUUAUUGCAGCACUACGUGUAAAAGAAAGUUUUCUGUCAACAAUUGGGCCAUGUUCUAUGAUCUCAGAGGUUUAUAGCUCCACCUUAAGCCUUGAGGACAGGAUGAAGUUAGAUGAGACCCUGAAGACAGGGGUGGGCGGCCUAGAGCUGUGGAUGGAGCUGGAGGGAUGUUGGGAUGGUCCUCUGGCCAGAGGAGGCAUUUGGGAUAAGAAGGUAUGUAGGGCGGACUGCCACCGGGAUGGUGCAUUGACUGCUGACCCACAUGCUCCUCAGCAGGGGACAGCUGCAUCCAUGGUGCUCCAUGCACACAAUCGAAUGCUUUGCAGUCAAGAGAAGGCAAUGAGGAGGAUCUACAUACUGCUAUGGCGUGAAAAAAAUAGGGUGCAGAAUAAUGAGGAUAACAUGCAAGCUUUUUUUUUUUGUUUGAGACAGAGUCUCCCUCUGUCACCCAGGCUGGAAUGCAGUGGCAUGAUCAUGGCUUACUGUAGCUUCAACCUCCUGGGCUCAAGCAAUCCUCCUGCCGCAGCCUCCCCAGUAGCUGAGACUACAGGCAUGUGCCACCACAUCUGGCUAAUUUUUUAUUUUUUAUAGUGACAGGAUCUCACCAUGUUGCCCAGGCUGGUCUUAAACUGCUGGGCUCAAGCAAUUCUCCGGCCUUGGCUUCCCAAAGUGCUGGGAUUACAGACAUUAGUCACCAUGACCAGCCAACAUGCAAACUUUUAUCAAGAAUUUUUUUGUGGACAAUGCACAUAUUUGAUUAAAAAAAUACAGGCUGGGUGCGCAGGCUCACGCCUGUAAUCCCAGCAUUUUGAGAGGCCAAAGUGGGUGGAUCACUUGAGGGCAGGAGUUUGAGACCAGCCUGGCCAGCAUAGUGAAACUCAGUCUCUAGUAAAAAUACAAAAAUUAGCCAGGCAUGGUUGUGUGCACCUGUACUUGGAAGGCUGAGGGAAGAGAAUUGCUUGAACCCAGGAGGUGGAGGUUGCAGUGAGCUGAGAUUGCACCGUUGUACUCCAGCCUGGGCAGCACAGCGAGACUCUGUCUCAAAAAAAAAAAAUGCAAUGAAGGAAUGAACCAAAACCAAAUGAGAAUGUUACCUAUAGAGGGAAGGGAAGCGGGAGGUGACGGGGAUGGAGGCUAGUCCUCACUGUAUAUAUCUUGUUUUUAUAAUUUUGGCUUUGGAAUCAAGCAAAAAUGGUUAUUAAUUAUAAAACAAAAUAAAUCAACUGGAGAAAGAAUUUCCUGAAAACAGAAAACAAAAUAAAGUUAGUCUAACAAUAUAUUAAGCUAGUGGCUUAAACUUACAGAGAAGAAUUAUUUCAAGUGACUUUGUAACAGAAGGCUGAGCACGUGGAUCUCUGUGAUAUUCCAUUUCUUAGAUGAAUAAAUUCUUACUAUUACUUAUAACCCACAGUAUUAUAAUAUACUUAUUUGACUGUCCUUCACACUAGAAUUUAUUUCUUAACAGCCUGAUCAGUAAUUGGCACAUGGUAGAUGUUCUAUAAUUUGUUUAACCACAUUAAAAAAAAAAAAAAAGCUCAACACAACAGUAACUAUAUAUCCCUAGCAGAAAAUAUCCAAAAGAUUUUUUAAAACUGCUAAGAAAUAUAAAAUUUUAUUCAACUUGUUAGUAAUAAUAAUGGUAUUGCUAUUUUAAACCAUGAUAAUAGUAAUAAUGCUAUUAGGACCCAAGAUUUUUAAAUAUAAGAGAAAAGAGAUACAAUUUUAAAAUAAAAUAAAUAAGUGUUGUAAUCUAAGAUUUGAAUUCAAAAUAUCAGGAUGAAUUUAUGAUGUAUUUUUCUCUUAAAAACAUAUAUGCAUUUUUCCCUGUGUCUGCCAAAAAGGCCUAGAAAUGGCAAAAAAAAAAAUAAGAAUAAACAUAUUUAGCACCCAGAUUGUGGUCUCUAAAACCCAUUAUGUUAUUGAAAGGCUUCCAUGGCUCCUUGGGGAAAUGACUGAUUCCAGGUUUGGGCAGAAAAUGUACAAGAUGAGUUCAAAACAUCUUAUCAUGCUAGUAAAAGGAAAGCUACCAUGUCAAGAAGACACAUAAAUCAACUCAAAAGGGCUCCCAUUAGCCAAAGAUGGGAUAACUUGAGUAUCAGAAAGAAUAGUGACUUCAAUAGAUUGAAAUACAUCAAAUUGUUAAUAACCAAUGACAAAAAGAUCAUUGGUCAUGUUUGGAGGGUGCUAAGACACUAUCUCACUAUUCCAAAAUAAAUGGGUAAAUAACA